UACGAGGGGGGCAACUGUUGUUCGGAAUCAUUGGGCGUAAAGGGUGCGUAGGCGGCGCGGUAAGUCGGGUGUGAAAUCUCGGAGCUUAACUCCGAAACUGCAUUCGAUACUGCCGUGCUUGAGGACUGGAGAGGAGACUGGAAUUUACGGUGUAGCGGUGAAAUGCGUAGAUAUCGUAAGGAAGUCCAGUGGCGAAGGCGGGUCUCUGGACAGUUCCUGACGCUGAGGCACGAAGGUCAGGGGAGCAAACGGG
rnacentral:rRNA from 1 species